GUUACCUCAAAACCUGUAACGCAUUUAAACAAAUACCUAUAUCAAUGAGGUAAAGGAAAUAGUUCAUUAACUUUGUUCUAAGCAAAGGUCUAGUUACAAAUUUAACUAUUUUUUGGCGAACACAAAGGGUAAGGUAAUCCUUUACGACGCACAGCACGUUGAUUUUAAUUAGUUAUUGCUAGUAAGUGUGCAAUAUCGAUGGAACUGCUAAUGAACACAGUACUUCAUGGUAAUUUCUUUUCAUUUAUGAUUUAUUAAUUGAAUUGAAUACAGAAUAAUUUAAUUCACGGAAUUUGGAAGUGGUCUAAGUAGGACAUGGCUUGAGGACACGACUUAAUUGUUAAGAUAUAGGCGAGCAGCAAACCGCAUAUUUACCUGGACUCGCCAUCUUAUUAAGAUUGAAAUUGGAGCGUGUCACGUGACGGAUGGGUUUCUACAUUACCGACUAGGGAAAUUCUACCUACACUAACCAUGCAAAUCUACUUCUUAAUACCAACAUUAUUACCUACUCGAAGUUUAUACGUGGAGAUUUCGAUAUUGUUAGUUUGUCGCAUCAAGUGACUCGUACUGAAAUUAUUGAUAUCAAAACUUAAGGGAAAGCAAUAAAUCAAAUAACUUUAAAAAAGCAAAAGCAAAAUUUUGAUCCACAACGGGUUGUUCGUGCAAAUCGGGGAUAUAUAAAAGCAUAAACGUAAAGAAAAUUACUUUACAAAGUACACAUAACUAAAUUCCUGUAUAAAAGUAAUUUGAAGAGUUGAAACGUAACCAGGGUACAUGAAUGAAUCUUCGUAACGACAAAAGUAACGUAGAUAAAAUCGACGUGUUGAAAGGCGUAUUCUUCGGAACGACAAAAACGAAUGUACGUAAAAUCAGACGUAUCGAAACAAUUCCCAAGAGAUCUUCAAAAGGUAUCGUAAUACUUGCAGUUAGAAAUCAGGAACAAUAAAUCAGGGUUAAAUAAUCGGUAUGCGGGUCACUGGAACAAAUCAAGUAAUGUCGCCGAUCUUAAAAUAGUGGGUCCAUUGUAAAGCGCAAUGUCAUCCAAGUUCUGCGUAAUUUCAAAAGCAUAGAUGUGGGUAGUAAUAACGAACUAAAAUGAAGAAUUUCUAUCAAUCCGGUGUAUUUGGCCCUCGAUUUGGCCAAAACAUGGCGUAUCUCCCAACUACCAAUAGAAAAUAACACCACCCUAUGACCACACUGUCGCUAUAGAGUCACUGUAUAGAAAAGUACAUUCCCAUGGCUUCUAGCGGGAAAAUAAAGAACUAUGAAAUAAAACUGUACCAAUAAAACUAACUACAUGAACUUAACCGAGAAAUACACGGAAUGUGUAAUGGGUAUUUACUUAAAGAAAUAUAAAUUUUAAAUGUUUAUGCAGAAAGGAAAGAAACCGUUACAGCUUGGUCUAGAAAUUUAGUACCCUUUUGGUAACGAAAAUACCAUUUAAAUGUGUACAUGUCACCUACCGGUUUAAAUCUUGCACUUUAGGGUUUAUAAAAGUUUGAUUCGCCGUUUAUACUAUUGAUCGUUUAUUGGGGGUAGGAAAAUGGACUACUAUUUAUAUUAUUUACUAUAGCUCAUUAGUUAUUGAAGGUACUCACUACGAUUAAGUUUAUAUUGCAUUGUGUAACUCAAUACCAAAUCGCCACCAUGAAGUACGCGAGUAGCAUUUUUGAACUUAUAGACGCUCUUUACCUUCCAUCUAAGGUUUUUGGAAUGGCACCUUACACCAGGGAUGUUGUGAACCAUAAACGCGCAUUUCGUUUUAAAAAGAACAAUUAUCUGUACAUUGGCUACAUACUUGUCAUCAUCGUGUUUAUGUUGGUAACCGUUCUGGCUCGUUUGGCGCUAGAAGACAAAGCGCCGUCCUUCCACGACGCAAUUAUUGGCACAUUAUUUGUAUUAUCGCAGGCAACUAAUAUGGCGAAACUCCUUGAGCUUUUUGUUCAAACUAAGGUGUUUCUAAAAACUUUGGAUUUAAUAAACCAUGCAGAUGAGCUACUAAAAGAUGUCGGCUUACAAGCGUCUUAUAAAAGCUUCCACAUCACUCUUCUCUUGCUUUACCUAACGUUUCCGUUUUAUCUUUUCUUUCUAGUAGCACCUAUCUGGGAAAUUGUGGGCUCAGUUCAAGCCACUGGAUUUUUCUCAAGGGAAACUCAGAAGCACAUAAUGCUAAUGUGUAAUGUUGCCAUACUCUUCGGUGUGCGGUUCACAUCUGUUUACUUAUACAACGCUUUCAUAUUCAUCUCGAUACAACGUUUGCAGCAGAUGAAUCGAUGUAUUAGGGAAGUGGAGAUAACGGCAACGUUCCAUCGUGAAACAUCCGAUAGGCUGUUGUCAACCGCUGCCCAAAUGCAUUACACCGUUCACAAGUUAACGUAUAACUUUAACAAGUGCUUUGGAUGGGCCACGUUUGGAUCAAUUACUAUGGCCUUCGUGGAAAUUGUCGUUUCGGUUAUGUCAUCGGGUUUGGCAUACUUUGGAUCUUGGAAGGUUCAUCUAACCACGGCGCUUUUUAAUGUAACCGCUUUAAUUACCCUUCCGUUGGGUCAGAAAAUUAAAACCGAGAGUCACACCAUGGGAAGACUUCUGUGCGAUCUCACACUUCCAUACUUUGACGAGGUCUUACGCAAGAAGUUUCUUUUGAUUACUCGAUCAUCGAGUUCUUCAACCAUACAAUUCUUGAAAAGCUAUUCCUGUUUCUAGAGAUGCACCUUAUUAUACCAAAUGCUUCACGAACCUCUUGACUUAAGUGCUGCUGGAUUUUAUGCGCUAGAUGUUAAAGCGAUCUUGGCGCAUUUGGAACUCACUUGCUCAUUGUUAAUGUUUCUACUGAACAUACAACAAGUAAUAAAAUAAUGCUUUGAGAGCACGUGGAGCACCUAUUCGUCAAUGUAUGGAUAAUCCGCAUAGUAUUACGAAGUUGAAAUUGAUUUGGAAGCACUACAAAUUAUUCUCGUCACAGCUUCUAAUCUGCACUGGAAAAACUAAUACUGUACUACUACUACUGCACUAAUACAAGUAUGCACACAGAAAUAUAGUGUUGUUAUUGCAUGAUAAUGGCAUUUAUAUAUAAAAAAGGAUACUUAAUGUUGUUU